UACGGGGGGGGCAAGCGUUGUUCGGAAUUACUGGGCGUAAAGGGUUCGUAGGUGGCUUGCUAAGUCAGACGUGAAAUCCCUCAGCUUAACUGGGGAACUGCGUCUGAUACUGGCGAGCUUGAGUGCAGGAGAGGAACGCAGAAUUCCAGGCGUAGCGGUGAAAUGCGUAGAUAUCUGGAGGAAUACCGGUGGCGAAGGCGGCGUUCUGGACUGCAACUGACACUGAUGAACGAAAGCCAGGGGAGCAAACGGG
rnacentral:rRNA from 1 species